rnacentral:lncRNA from 1 species
GCUCACCUGAAGGCUAUUCUCCAGGAACCUAAAGGGGUUAGAACAGCAGGAGUCCUAAGAAAGCAUUUCUUUUUGUAAAAGCCUGGGGGAGGAGAACAACAGCCACUGUGGGAAAGGCAGGAAACAACUAAGAUCCUUCUCCCCAUAGAACAAAAGACUCAAACGGAAAGGAUUUACUGCAAAGACCCACAUUUCCCAGUGCGACUUAGGAUCAUAAAAGUAUUGAAUAUUAGAGUGCAAAGGACCUUCAAAAUCAUCUAAGAGGAUUUCUCUUGUUUUGUAGUAUGCUGAAGCUCAAAGAGGGGAAAGGGUUACCCACUGAAUUGCAGGUACAGAAAUUUUUAACUUAUGGAAAUGCUCACAAAAGAAUUACAUCAUGAACACAUGGCAGAUUCUAAUAUACGAUGGCUUAAUUUUAAAGGUAUUCAUGUCAGCACAACUGCCAUGUCAGCACAAUAUCUUCUGCAUAUAAGUGCAUAUGAAUGUUACCCCCCAAGGGGUUUGUCUGCCUGCCAGAAGACAUGCCAAUAGUCAAGAGGCAAAGUGAGACCAGAACGAUGCCCUACGCCCUGAUCUUUCAGAUGUCGUUGAUGAUGGUUAUCAACAUAGACUCUCUGCCCAGGGUCAUCACAUUCUUGAGGAGCUCAAAAGAACAAAGUUAUCAACUUAUAGAAGCUGAGAAGGCCCAUAAAACCUACAGAGCAUGUCUGGCUUAGUCAAUCAGAGGUGGGACACCUACCAAAGCAUGGCGUGCCAAGUGGUGCCAUGUCCGCACCCAGGAUCCGAACCCACGAACCCCAGGCCGCAGAGAAGUGGAACGUGGGAACUUAACCGCUGCGCCACUGGGCCAGCCCUCAGCACUUUUGAACAUGUGGCCUGUAAGAUUUCUGCAGAGACAUCCCCUGAUACCCUUAUGUGGUUUCCCUCAUAUGUGACGAUUUUCUUUCUGUCGCUGCUUUUAAAAUUCUCUUUGUCAUUGAUUUUAGAUAGUUUUAUUAUAACGUAUCUUGGAAAAGAUUGUUUUGGGUUGAUAUCUUGGGGGUACCUAUGAUCUUCGUGAACUUGGAUGUCCAAAUCUCUUUCCAGAUUUGGGAAGUUCUCAGCCAUUUUUUUAUUGAUAAGCUUUCUAUCCCUUUUUCCCUCUCUUCUUCUCCUGGGACUCCA